rnacentral:lncRNA from 1 species
UAAUACAAAUGUAAGACAAUAGACUCUCUCGGCGUAUGUUAAGCCAAGGUAGGCUAACGUUCACUGACUAUGGUAUGAUAGCGUAACACAGCACAGCAGCCUGUACGACGCUGAUGGCCACUCCGGCAACGGGUAUGCAACAGGCUAGCUCUCCUCUAACGUUUGGAAGCUUUCUCCCAACUCAAUUUCAACCUAUUCAUAAAGGGGAGAAACUUGAAGAAGAUGAAAAUAUUGAAUGCAAUAAUGUUCGUGAGGAAAACUCUUAAGGGUAAGAAUCAGUGAUUGCAAUGGCGAAACUUUCCCAACGACUUCAGUUUUCUGAUAUGAGUGCUUCUACAAGCUUAAAUCCAGAAGGCCCAGCUGCACAGACACCGCAAGUCCCUCCCUUUCCUACAGACAAGGCAUUAGGUAAAAGGAAUAUAUUAUCGUACAUUUCGCCCAGCCAGCGGGGUGGGAAGAAAGUGGUUAAGCUGACUACUGAGGAUAUUCAAACAGCUGAUGAACAGUGGUCGAAAACUCUUAUUGGGUAUGUUCUUGGAGACGCUCCAUACGGGAAAUCUAUGAAUAAUUUUGUAACCAGUAUUUGGAAUUUUGUGAAGAAACCCUAAAUUCUUUAUCAUGUUGAUGGUUAUUAUGUAUUUCAAUUUGCUUUAAUUAAAGAUAGAAAAGAGAUAAUGCCAGCAGGACCUUACACUUACCGCAAUAAGCAUUUCAUCCUGAAGCCUUGGGUAGUGAAUUUUGUAUUUGAUACUGAAUGCAUCACAACGGUUCCUAUAUGGGUAAAUUUACCUGGGUUGCCUGUGGGAUGUUGGACUGUUGAAGCACUAAGCAAAAUGGCUAGUGCAAUUGGUGAACCCCUCUAUACUGAUUGGUACACUGCGUAUUUAAAUAGGAUAUCUUAUGCUAGAGUAUUAGUAGAG